rnacentral:rRNA from 1 species
GAUGAACGCUGGCGGCGUGCCUAAUACAUGCAAGUCGAGCGAACAGACGAGGAGCUUACUCCUCUGACGUUAGCGGCGGACGGGUGAGUAACACGUGGAUAACCUACCUAUAAGACUGGGAUAACUUCGGGAAACCGGAGCUAAUACCGGAUAACAUGUUGAACCGCAUCGUUCAACAGUGAAAGACGGUCUUGCUGUCACUUAUAGAUGGAUCCGCGUCGCAUUAGCUAGUUGGUAAGGUAACGGCUUACCAAGGCAACGAUGCGUAGCCGACCUGAGAGGGUGAUCGGCCACACUGGAACUGAGACACGGUCCAGACUCCUACGGGAGGCAGCAGUAGGGAAUCUUCCGCAAUGGGCGAAAGCCUGACGGAGCAACGCCGCGUGAGUGAAGAAGGUCUUCGGAUCGUAAAACUCUGUUAUUAGGGAAGAACAAAUGUGUAAGUAACUAUGCACGUCUUGACGGUACCUAAUCAGAAAGCCACGGCUAACUACGUG